UACGUAGGGAGCAAGCGUUGUCCGGAAUCAUUGGGCGUAAAGCGCGCGUAGGUGGCUUCGUAAGUCCGCUGUGAAAGUCCAAAGGCUCAACCUUUGAAAGCCGGUGGAUACUGUGAAGCUAGAGUACGGAAGAGGCGAGUGGAAUUCCUGGUGUAGCGGUGGAAUGCGCAGACAUCAGGAGGAACACCAAUGGCGAAGGCAGCUCGCUGGGACGGUACUGACGCUGAGACGCGAAAGCGUGGGGAGCAAACAGG
rnacentral:rRNA from 1 species